rnacentral:tRNA from 1 species
GGCUCGUUGGUCUAGGGGAAUGAUUCUUCCUUCGGGUGCAAGAGGUCCUGGGUUCAAAACCAGGACGAGCCC